CACUGGUGUGCAAUGUUUGCUACUCCUUGUCUGCCUGUGUUUCAGUUGCCUUCCUGUAUUGCUAUCAGAGCAUUUGGUGGCUGGUGCUUGUCCCCCAUCCGUGUGCCCUCCUGACCUGCCCAGACGGCAUCCGGUGGCAAAGGUGUACAGACUUUUGUUUUCUUUUAUGUUUUAAUGGGGCAGGUUAAUGGCCAGCUGCCUCCCUCAACAGUCUUUCCUAAGGUGGAGGUAGUCAAAAUAAUAAAAAAUAAAAAUAAAAACAAAAGUUGCUCUAUAGGCUUCAGCCAAAAUAGCAGCAAACGUGGGCCCUUGCAGGAGGCACCAACACUAAUUAUCCAAUUUGCCUCUGUAUAACCUCAGCAGUUGCUUUUGGUUACCUGCUUAUGCAGACAAAUCAGAUUAUUCCUCUGUCUGUGCUGAUACCAGCUGAGUAUAAUCAAGUGAUUCCUGUGCAACUGCCAGCUAUAGCAAGUGGAGAUGGCCCCGCCCACUCUAAAUUCAGCAGACUAGAACGCUGCUUCAGAAGCCUCAGAUCCUGCCACACACCGACCGAACUUCUGCAAGAGGCCCGCAACCUACCUUGCGCCAGAUGAUCCCCACAGCCAAUGGUGUCAAACAGCCUGAAGGAAAACAAUUGGGAAUAAAAUAACAAACUGUAACCAAAAUAAAGGAGAAAAUUAGUCAAAAUGAAAAUAGGGGUAACAAAGCCAAAAAUAAAAAAGAGAUUAUUAACGGUUAAUGAUAUUGUCAGAAAAAUGGAAGCUCAGCAAGGUCGUUAACAGCCUUUCGAUCUUAUUGUUACUUAUUCUUUGCAGGGAAACCAGUUCACCCUUCACAAGCUGCUAUGUCUAUUUUUCUUAGGGGUAUUUAUAAAAGAACACUUUUACAUAAAUGUAACUGAAAAUGUAUACAUAAUCACUAGAUUGGUGAGAUAACAUACAAAGUAGCACAACUGUAUCGUUUGGCUGACUGUAGCCACAAGAAGGCUGUAAAGUUCCAUCUAUGGUGUAUUAAACAAUAAACUUCAAUUUAACAGUCCA